GGGAUGACUGUAUUAAUCUGAAACUGUGUUCACCUUUCAUUUUUAUACUUACAAAAUUUCCACUUUUUUUCCUGAUGUAAGGUUUAUUUCAAAGGAAUGUUGACAAAUAUUCCACUGUUUUAGUUUGUACAGUCUGAGUGAAGCUGGUCAAUACUGUGACCUGAGGUCUCUCUUAAUUCAGCCUUGUAGAGGUGAAUGACCUGCCCAAGGUCACAGCAGUGGAGAUGCGAUACAAGAAGCCGUGCUCAGAGUGCUGUAUGCGAUGAUGCUGAAUUUCCUCCAGAUGGAAAAGUGAUGAUGGCAAUGUGGUCACCAGCGAUAGAGCUGAGAAAAUAUAAUCCCUCCUUUAUAUGAGGUACUUUUCUACAAAGGCAGAUGAAAACUGUAUCUGAUACAGAAGUCAUUUGACCAAUAAGCACAUUUGGAAAAGACUGACAGAUUCACAGUAUCAAGUAAGAUCUGUUUUCAUUUCAUUUCGACUUCCUAUUAUAUGCUCACAUCCCAAAGCUCAGUUGAUAUUCAAGGGGCAACCAGGUUUGUUUAAGUCAUUUACAAAAAAUGAAAUAAAUGAAAAGGUUAAAUUUAACGAGCCA
rnacentral:lncRNA from 1 species